rnacentral:rRNA from 1 species
CUUAAGAGGAUUAAGAAGUUUUUUAAGGGUUGGGGAUCUAAUUUGUUUGGUCACAAUAAGAUCAGGAGAAAAAUUAUCAAGCUCGAGUUGCAGGAGCUUGAAAAACUGGAAGAGACUGAUGGUUUAUGUGGGGAUGCCUACACUAGGAAGUUGGAUAUUCUAGUGGAGCUUAAUAAGAUGUAUGUGGAAGAAGAACUACACUGGCAUCAAUUCUCUAAUGAGAGGUGGCUUCUGAAAGGAGACAAUAACACUGGUUUCUUCCAUAAAGUAGCCAAUGGCCGUCGUAGGAAAAACUCCAUGAUCUCCCUGGAGUGUGGGUCCACUAUUAUUGAGGGCACUAAAAACCUUCUGGUCCAUGCUACUGAAUACUAUAAAUCCUUAUUUGGUCCAGCUCCUGGCAAUUUAUGUCAGAUAGAUGCUGCUCUAUGGUCUCAGGAUGAGAUGAUUACUCCUGGUGACAAUGAGGAAUUAACUCGACCUUUUUCGUUAGAAGAAAUCAAGAAAGCUUUGUUUAGCAUGAAUUCUAACCGUGCCCCUGGUCCAGAUGAUAUUCCUGUAGAAUUCUAUCAACACUGCUGGGAGGUAGUAGCCCAAGACCUUCUAUGCUUAUUUGAUUGGUUUCAUGAUGGCAAGCUAGAUGUACAA